rnacentral:rRNA from 1 species
CCCUUAGAUGUUCUGGGCCGCACGCGCGCUACACUGACGAAUGCAACGAGCUUAUAACCUUGGCCGAAAGGUCUGGGUAAUCUCCAAAUUUCGUCGUGAUGGGGAUAGAUUAUUGCAAUUAUUAAUCUUCAACGAGGAAUGCCUAGUAAGCGCAAGUCAUCAGCUUGCGUUGAUUACGUCCCUGCCCUUUGUACACACCGCCCGUCGCUACUACCGAUUGAACGUUUUAGUGAGGUAUUUGGACUGGACCUUCGGAGGUUCGCGCCUCCGUUGCUGUUCGGGAAGACUCCCAAACUUGAGCGUUUAGAGGAAGUAAAAGUCGUANCA